rnacentral:rRNA from 1 species
GAUGAACGCUGGCGGCAUGCCUUACACAUGCAAGUCGAACGGCAGCACGGGUGCUUGCACCUGGUGGCGAGUGGCGAACGGGUGAGUAAUACAUCGGAACGUACCUUAUCGUGGGGGAUAACGCAGCGAAAGCUGUGCUAAUACCGCAUACGCCCUGAGGGGGAAAGCGGGGGAUCGCAAGACCUCGCGCGAUUAGAGCGGCCGAUGCCUGAUUAGCUUGUUGGUGGGGUAAAAGCCCACCAAGGCGACGAUCAGUAGCUGGUCUGCGAGGACGAUCAGCCAGACUGGGACUGAGACGCGGCCCAGACUCCUACGGGAGGCAGCAGUGGGGAAUUUUGGACAAUGGGGGCAACCCUGAUCCAGCAAUGCCGCGUGAGUGAAGAAGGCCUUCGGGUUGUAAAGCUCUUUUGUCAGGGAAGAAACACCGGCUCUAACACAGUCCGGGAAUGACGGUACCUGAAGAAUAAACACCGGCUAACUACGUGCCAGCCGCCGCAGUAA